rfam:Methanospirillum hungatei JF-1, complete genome.
ACUCCCGUAGUGUAGAGGUCAAUCAUAUCGGAUUUUGGUUCCGAUGACGACGGUUCGAAUCCGUCCGGGAGUA